rnacentral:tRNA from 1 species
UGGGGUGUCGCCAAGUGGUAAGGCAGCGGGUUUUGAUCUCGCCAUUCCGUGGUUCGAAUCCAUGCACCCCAG